rnacentral:rRNA from 1 species
ACACGUGAUUCAGAGUUUGAUCCUGGCUCAGGAUGAACGCUAGCGGCAGGCUUAACACAUGCAAGUCGAGGGGCAGCAUGAGACGGAGAUUCGUCAAAGUCUUGAUGGCGACCGGCGCAAGGGUGCGUAACGCGUGAGCAACUUGCCCGUUUCUGGGGAAUAACCGGUGGAAACGCCGACUAAUACCCCAUAGUAUCAAUUUAAGGCAUCUUUUUAUUGAUUAAAGAAUUUCGGAAACGGAUAGGCUCGCGUGACAUUAGCUAGAUGGCGGGGUAACGGCCCACCAUGGCGACGAUGUCUAGGGGUUCUGAGAGGAAGGUCCCCCACACUGGAACUGAGACACGGUCCAG